rnacentral:lncRNA from 1 species
CCCCUCAUUCCCCGUCUCUCAAGUUCAGAGACUUGGAACCCUAGCCGCCGCCCUAAAAACCCCAAAAUCCCCCACCGUCUCCGCCAGCGAAGACGCCAUAAACGUCUCCAAUCCGCUCCAAACUAACACUCCAGAACCCCCAUUGCUUCCUCUUCCCAAAUCCCUAAUCUAUGUCCCUCGAAUCCCUCCCAAACGGCUCGGAUUUUAGAUCUAAAAUCAACACCCAAAACCCUAAAGUCUCCAAAUCCACCCAAAAUCGCACCAUAUAGUCUUCACACACCCAUAAACCCAAACCCCUCAAUAGUUUCCUCAAAAGCUCGACCAAAUCUACCCGACUUCGCAUUUGUGGCAUGCAAGGUUAAGCCCCAAGCCUUCAAGUUCCAAGGAUGAUUUAGCGUGAAAUUGAUGUUGGUUGUUUUUUCUUAACAAAGAACAUGCGAUUAACAUUAAUUUUGGGCUUAAAAUCGGAGCAGCCAGAAUUCUUUAAGUCAAUUGCUAGGUAUUUCUUUUGUUUUUUCCUCUAUCUAUUUCUGUGAUUUCUACUCCUAUUUUGCUUCCACUUUUCUCUAAUCUGUUUCUUUAUGUUCCUUUUCUCCUGGCCGAAAAAAAUAAUGAAGGAAUUAGGGUAGCCAUAAUCUCUGGACUGAUAGAAUAUUCUAGUGCUUAGCCAGUACCUCAUUUCUUCUCUUUAGUUUUUAUUUUUGGUCUGUUUUCUGAUUUUCUUUUUCAAUUUUUAAAACAUCUGUUCAUCUAAAUUUGUUUAGGCUAUUUAUUUUCUCCAAUUAGUUGGUAUUAUUCAGAUUGUUUGAAUUAAAUUAGGCGUUAUUCAUGUUUAUGAUAAUUUCUUAGUUUGUUCAGGUUAGGUCAUCAUGAAUUCUGUUUUUCUAGUUUGUCAUGCCUUUCUGUCAAUUUCCUCUUCAUUUUAAUUGUAUGGUUUUAGAUGUAGGGUUUUAGGAGUCAGAUUGUUGAAUGCUCAAUAUCAGUCAUGCUUCACUGUUCACCUCUUAAAUUCGAUUUGUUUGGUAUCACAUUUUGUUGUGGUUGGAUUAGAAUUAGGUUGCUACUUGUUCAUUAUUGAAAUUAGCUCAUUCUAGGUUUGUUUAGGUGUCCAGAAAUUUAAAAGUUCUAUCAUUGUUAAAUUUGGUUAUUUGAUUUACAUUAGUAUGCCCAUUUGUUGUUUACCCUGAUUUGCAAAUCAGUAGCAACUUAUAGGGACCUAAUUGAACAAAAAGAAAGUUAAGAAGGUCAUAAAAGAGGGCAAAUAAUUCUGAAAUUGGAUAAAAUUCAUGUUAGAGUGUUCUAAAAUAGGGGCAGCUGGCCCUAUUUGGCCAACACAAAUUGCUGAAACCAAUUAGAGGUUGACAGUUGUCCCAUUCUGUUAAAAAAAAUGCUUGUGUGAGGGAAUAAUUUCCAUUCUAUUUUUGCAGCACAUGGCUCCCAAAAAGGGCUAUAUAUAGACCCUUCUUUCACUCAAAAAUCAAACAUUCAUACCCUAAAAAAUACUGACAAGUUUCUGCAUCAUUUGGCUCAAAAUUGGUUGGGAUUACUCUUGGAAGAACAAAAAAAAAAUUCAAAGGAUUUCUGGUUUGCUGGGGUUAUUUCAUCACUGAUCCUUGUUGCUGCUGAGUUAGUGUUGCUGGGUUUUUCUUCCUAUUGCUUGGCUAUUACUCUUUUUCUGUUUUUACUCCUUCAAGUUACUCUUUCCAGUUCCUUUCUUGUACAAUAGUACUUUUCACGACCCUAAUUCGCCCUCCGUGAACCAUCGUGACAGCACCUAGUCUCUACGACUAGGUAAGACUAAAAUGAGGAAGAUAAACCAAUUUGCGGAAGAAAAUAAUUUAAAACAGAAAUAGAGUAAUAUAACAACAUUUAAAAGUGCCGCUCGGCAUACACAAUAUAAAUCCUCAAAACUAUUACAUUUUUCCAAAACCCGAAAACCUAUGAAUCCACAAACCUUGGAAUGUCUACCAGUGUCUAACUCCAGAAUAUCUAACAAGGAAAAGGAAAUACAGAAGGGCUAAUACAAUAGGGAGAGUAGAAAGGGAUUCCUUGGUCUGCGGACGCGGCAUAUAUACCUCGAAGUCUCUGGAACAGUCACCUCGCCUCAAGGGUGAUAGGACUGAGUCAAGGUACCUGGAUCUGCACAUGAAAAACAUGCGCAUAAAGGGCAUGAGUGCACCACAACUAUACUUAGUAAGUGCGAAGCCUAACCUCGGUCGGAUAGUGACGAGGAAGGUCAUGGCCCUACUGAGGUUAAAUAAAAUAUAAAGUUCAAUAGUGUAGAACAGAACAAUAUAAAUAAGUACAACAAUAAAAGUAACACAAGAUAUAAAGGGCAACAACAACUAUUACAAAGACAAGGUAAACACAAAAAGAAAUACGGUUCAACACCAAAAUAACAAUCGGGGAUCUCCCAGGAUACCAUCCUGUAGUCCCAAAUAUACAUAUCCAAUGGAUCUCUCGGGAUCCCGUCCCGUAGUCCAACUCAUAGUGCAUGGGGAUCUAUCGGACCGUUCCGUAGUCCCAAAUGUAAAUACCUAGUACUAGGGAAUCUACCAGGUGCAUUCCCGUAGUUCCAUAUAACUGUGCAGGGGGAUCUACCAGAAUCUCACAUCAGUAGUCCCAAAAGAAACAGACAAGGGGGAGCUACCAGAAUCCCACAUCCGUAGUCCCAAUGUAAAUACACAACAACAAUAGGAAAAUAUUCAAAAAUGGCAAAUUUCAUAUUAAGGCAAACAAGUAAUUCUAGCCUAGCAUGCUGUAUAGAAUUCAGGUAAGGCAGUUUGAGCAAGUAAAGCAAUUAAGUCACUUAGACAUGCUUUCGUAAGCUAACAACAGGCUUAAUAGUACAAGUAAUAAAAACAGGAAAGGAAACAUACUAGUAAUUACUUAAUGAAAAUAUGAUUUCCAACAAUUAGCACAAGUACGCACUCGUUACCUCACGUAUAAGGCAUUUCAAUUACCAAAUAUACCAAAUCCUAAGGGAAGGUCCCCCACACAAGGUUAAACAAGUCACUUACCUCGAACCGGCUCAAUAAUCAAUCUGAAACCACGCUAUUGCCAUGAGUACUCGACUCCAAAUGACCCAAAUCUAUUCAAUUCAAUUUCAUAACAUAAAUAACACUUCAAGUAACUGAUUCUACAAAGAAAUUCUAAGCUACUACGCGAAAUUAGGUAAAAUGACCAAAACACCCCUCGGGCCCACAUCGCGAAAUCGGGUAAAAUUUAUAUUUUCAGAAUCCUCACAUUGUCCCAAGUUCAUGCAUACCAAAAUUAUCCAAAUAUAAGGUCAAAUUCCCAAUCAGAAGUCGAAUUCUAGGUCUAAGAACUUUCUUCCAACUUUUCCCCAAUUUUCAUCUCCAAUCCGAUAUUAAAUGAUGAAACUAACUAUAGAUUGAUGGUGUAUAACUAGAAAGGGUUAAAGAAUCGUUACCUAAUGAUCUCCUCUUCAAUUUCCUCUCAAAAUCGCCCUCUCCCGAACUCCAAAUCGAAUUUUCAACUUUUGAAACUAAACCCUUGAAAUUUUAUAUUUCCGCCUAGCUGUUUCUGCAUCUGCGGUCCUGGGACCGCUUCUGCGGUCACGCAUUUGUAGAACAAUGUUCGCAUUUGUGAUUUUUCACUUAAGGCCCAGCUUUCCGCAUCUGCAGCUAUCCUUUCGCAGAUACGGGGCCACUUCUGCGGUGAAGACCCCGCUUCUACGGUCCCUGCUGCCUUUCCUCCUUUUCCGCUUCUGUGGCUCCGCACUUGUGGUCCCACACUCAUAGGUGCGGUUAUGAUAGAAGAAAAACUGAAGCUACAACUCCAAAGUCCCAAAAUCCUUCCGCCAAUCAUCCAAAAUAAUUCUGAGGCCCCCGGGACCAAACCUACCAACAUAUCCCAUAACUUCAUUCAAACUUGUUUCAACCUUCAUAAUGCUCAGAACAACAUCGAAACACCUAUUUUUUAUCGGAUUCAAGCCUAAGAAUUCCAAAAACUCUAAAAAUACGCUUUCGAUCAAAAAGUCUAUCAAACUUUGUCCGAAUGACCUGAAAUUUUGCACACACUCCAUAUGCAACACUGCUACUCCAACUUCCGGGAUUCCAUUUUGACCCUCAGAUCAAAAUCUCACUAUCGAACCAGAAACUUCAAAAUUCGACCUUUAAGCAUUUCAAGCCUAAAUUAGCUAUGGACCUCCAAAACACAACCCGAACACGCCCCUAAGCCUGAAAUCACCCAACGAAGUUAACGGAACCAUCAGAUUUCCAUUCCUUGGCCGUCUUCACUGUUCCGACUACGGUCAACUUUCCAAUACUUAAGCUAUCAUUUAGGGACUAAGUGUCCCAAAACUCUCCAAAACUCAAAAUCUAAUAUCUCGACAAAUCAAAAUAGCAGAAAUAAACUUGGGGAAAGCAGUUAAUAGGGGAUCAGGGCGUAAAUUCUUAAAACGAUCGGCCGGGUCGUCAUAUCCUCCUACACUUAAACAUUCGUUUGUCCUCAAAGCAUAGAGACAUACGUGAAGUAGUGAAAAGAUGAGGGUAAUGGCUGCACAUAUCCUGCUCGGUCUCCCAGGUCGCCUUCUCGACCGAUUAACCCCGCCAUUGCACCUUUAUCGAUGCAAUAUUCUUUGACCUCAGCUUUCUAACCUGCCUGUCCAAUAUUGACACUAGCUCCUCAACAUAAGAUAGAUCCUUGUCCAACUGGACUAAACUGAAAUCCAACACGUGUGACGGGUCACCGUGAUACCUCCGGAGUAUCGAAACAUGAAAUACCGGAUGAACUCCUGCCAAGCUGGGAGGUAAGGCAAGCUCAUAAGCAACCUCUCCAACACGCCUCAAUAUCUCAAAGGGCCAAUAAACCUCAGACUCAACUUCCCUUUCUUCACAAAUCUCAUAACGCCCUUCAUAGGCGAAACCCGAAGCAGAACCCGUUAUCCAACCAUGUAGGAAAUGUCACAAACCUUCCGAUCCGCGUAACUCUUCUGUCUGGACUAGGCUGUACGAAGUCUAUCCUGAUUCACCUUGACCUUCUCCAAAGCAUCCUAAACCAAGUCUGUGCCCAAUAGUCUAGCCUCACCCAGCUCAAACCAACCCACCGGUAUCUACACCGCCUACCAUAUAAAGCCUCAUACGGUGCUAUUUGAAUGCUGGAUUGAUAGCUAUUAUUGUAAGAAAACUCCGCCAAUGGCAAAAACUGAUCCCAAGACACUCCGAACUCAAUCACACACGCACGGAGCAUUUCCUCAAGAAUCUGAAUAAUGCGCUUGGACUGUCCGUCCGUCUGAGGGUGAAAUGAUGUACUCAACUCCACUCUAGUACCCAACUCAUGCUGAAUGACUCUCUAGAAUCGUGAUGUGAACUGAGUAUCUCUAUCUGAAAUGAUGGAAACUGGAAUACCAUGCAGAUGAACAAUCUUCCGGAUAUAGAUCUCCACCAACUGAUCUGAAGAAUAAGUAGUACACACAGGGAUGAAGUGAGCGGACUUGUUCAGUCGAUCCACAAUCACCCAAAUAGCAUCGAACUUUCUCAAAGUCCAUGGGAGCCCAACUACAAAGUCCAUGGUGAUCCGCUCCCACUUCCACUCCGGAAUCUCUAUCUACUGAAGCAACCCACCCGGUCUCUGGUGCUCAUACUUCACCUGCUAAUAGUUAAGGCACCAAGCUACAAAUCCAACUAUAUCUUUCUUCAUCCGCCUCCACUAGUAGUGCUGCCUCAAAUCCUGAUACAUCUUCUCGGCACCCGGAUGAAUGGAAUACCGCGAGCUAUGAGCCUCCUCCAGAAUCAACUCCCGAAGCCCAUAAACAUUGGGUACACAAAUCCGACCCUGCAUCCUUUAUACCCCAUCGUCAACAAUAGUCACAUCUUUGGCAUCACCAUGCUGAACCUUGUCCUUAAGGACAAGCAAAUGAGGGUCAUCAUACUGCAGCUUUUUGAUACGAUCAAAUAAGGAAGACCGAGAAACCACGCAAGCUAGAACUUGACUAGGCUCCAAAAGAUCCAAUCUCAUAAACUGGUUGGCUAGGGCCUGAACAUCCAUUGCCAUAGGUCUCUCUGAUGCUGGUAAAUAAGCCAAACUCCCCAAACUCGCUGCCCGACGACUCAAGGCAUCGGCCACCACAUUGGCCUUGCUCGGGUGAUAUAAAAUGGUGAUAUCAUAAUCCUUCAGCAACUCUAACCAUCUCCUCCAGCGCAAAUUUAGAUCCUUUUGCUUGAACAGGUGCUGCAAGCUCCGAUGGUCAGUAUAAAUCUCACAGGGAACCCCGUAUAAAUAAUGGUUCAAGAUCUUCAGGGCUUGAACAAUGGCAGCUAACUCAAGGUCGUGGAUAGGGUAAUUCUUCUCCUGUAUCUUCAACUGUCUGGACGCAUAGGCAAUCACCCUACCGUCCUACAUCAACACCGCUUCGAGGCCAAUCCUCGAGGCAUCACAAUAGACCGUAUAAGACCCCAAACCUGUAGGCAUUAUCAAAAUUGGGGCUGUGGUCAAAGCUCUCUUGAGCUUCUGAAAGCUCGCCUCACACUCCUUCGUCCACUGGAACAGAGCACCCUUCUGGGUUAGUCUAGUCAUAGGGGCUGCAAUCGAUGAAAAUCCCUCAACAAAACGACCGUAGUAACCCGUCAUGCCAAGGAAACUGCUAAUCUCUGUAGCUGAGGAUGGUCUGGGCCAACUCUGCACGGCCUCUAUUUUCUUCAGAUCCACCUGAAUACCCUCACUCGUUACCACGUGGCCUAAGAAUGCUACUAAAUCCAACCAAAACUCAUAUUUCGAGAACUUAGCAUAUAACUUCUUCUCUCUCAAAGUCUGAAGCAUAGUCCUGAGGUGCUGCUCAUGAUCUUCCCGACUCCAGGAAUACACCAGAAUAUCAUCAAUAAAGAUAAUGACGAAAGAGUCAAGAUACGGCCAGAACACACUGUGCAUCAAAUGCAUAAAGGCUGCUGGGGCAUUGAUCAACCCAAAUGACAUAACUAGGAACUCGUAAUGACCAUACCGAGUCCUGAAAGUAGCCUUCGAGAUGUCUAGCUCCCGAAUCUUCAACUGAUGGUAACCCNNNNNNNNNNNNNNNNNNNNNNAAUACGAGGCAAAGAAUAACGGUUCUUCACUGUAACCUUGUUCAACUGGCGAUAAUCAAUACACAUAGAACCAUUUUUUUCUUCACAAACAAGACAGGAGCACCCAAGGUGAUACAUUGGGCUGAAUAAAACCAUUGUUAAGAAAUUCCUGUAACUGAUCCUUCAACUCCUUCAACUCAGGAGGAGCCAUCCGAUACGGAGGAAUAGAUAUGGGCUGAGUGCCCGACAAUAGAUCAAUGCCAAAAUCAAUAUCUCUAUCAGGCAGCAUGCCCAAAAGGUCAGCUAGAAACACAUCGGGAAAAUCCUAUACUUCUGGAACUGAAUCAACUGAAGGGGUAUCAAUACUGACAUCUCUCACAUAAGCUAAAUAUGCAUCACACCCCUUCUCAAUCAUCCGCUGAGCUUUAAGAAAAGAAACAACUCUACUGGGAGUGUGAUCUAAAGUACCCCUCCACUCAACACGGUACACCUGACAUAGCCAGCAUCAUGGUUUUGGCGUGACAAUCAAGGAUAGCAUAAUGGGGCGACAACCAGUCCAUGCCUAAGAUAAUGUCAAAAUCCACCAUGCUGAGCAGCAAUAAAUCGGCUCUGGUAUCAAAACCACUAAGAGCAACCAAACACAACCGAUAAAUGCGGUCCACAACAAGAGAAUCGCCCACAAGAGUAGAAACAUAAAUAGGGGAACUUAAAGAAUCCCAAGAUACACCCAAAUGUAGAGAAAAAUAAGAAGACAUAUAAGAAUAAGUGGAGCCUGGAUCGAAUAGAACCGAUGCAUCUCUGUGACAAAGCAGUAUAAUACAUGUGAUGACAGAAUCGGAGGCAACAACCUCGGUACGGGCAGGAAGGGCAUUGUAUCUGGCCUGGCCUCCUCCUUUAGGGCGACCUCUACCUCUCCGACCUCUACCUCUAGUUGGCUGAGCAGGUGGGGUAGCAACUAUAGCUGUAACCAUGGCCUGAGAACUCUGCGGGGCACGCUGUGGCUGAGAAGUCUAUGGAGGUGCACCCCUCCCAAGUCUAGGUAAAUCCCUCACCAUAUGGCAUGUGUCACAACACUCAAAAUAAUCUCUAGGAGGACGUGGUGGCUAUGACUGGCUCGGGCCAGGUCUGCUCGACUGACCUCUGAAAGCACCUCGCAUAGAAGGCGCGCUAGAUACCGGUGGUGCAUAAUAAGGCUCCUGAGGUCUUGAAGGAGCUGAAAUGCCACUGGCUGAUAGAAGAGCUGAAUGAAUAGGGCGACUCAUAUAACCCCUACCAUAACAACUGGCUGUUGGGGCACGAACACUAGAGAAAUGGCCCAACUCUCGAGACCUCUUGGCCUCCCUCUCCUCUACCUCCCUAGCAUGCAUACUCUCAAUCCUCCUAGUAAUGCUCACCACCUGCUUAUAAGAAAUAUCCAUCUCCAACUCACGAGCCAUGCUAGACCUGAUGCUGGGAAUAAGGCCCUCAAUAAACUGGCGAACCCUCUCACGAACAGUAGAAACCAAGGCCGGUGCAUGCCUAGCCAAACUGGUGAAACAGACAACAUACUCUGAGACAGUUAUAGUACUCUAGUGCAAAUGCUCAAACUCUGCGCGCCAUGUGUUCCUGAGGCUCUGAGGAACAUACUCUUUCAGGAACAUAUCUGAGAACUAAGUCCAAGUCAGCGAAGCAGCCUCAUUUGGACUGUCUAACUCAUAGGUUUGCCACCACUCAUAGGCGGCUCCUCGAAGCUAGAUGGUAGUGAAGGAAACCCCGCUCGAUACCGAUAUACCCAUGGUACGCAGAAUGCGAUAACUCUCAUCUAGAAAUCCUAGAGCAUCCUCCGAUGCUAGACCGCUGAAUAUAGGAGGCUUGUACCUCUUGAACCUCUCAAGCCUCAAUUGUUCCUCCUCGGAAGUUGCUGCUUUGCCCUCAGGAUGAACUGGCACUGCAGGCAGUACAUGAAUAAUCUCAAGGACUUGCUCAACAUGCACUCGCUACUCAGGAGUGCGAGCGGCGGGAGUUUGUGCUCCUCCCCCGGCCUGAGAUGUAGCUGCAGCAAGGGGAAGCAAUCCUGCCUGAGCCAGAGUGGUGUACAUGCUCAUGAACUGUGCCAGAGUCUCUUGAAGAGCUGGAGUAGUAGUAGCAGUAGGCAUGUUAAGUGCCUGGACUUCAGCUAGAACUGCUUGUGGUACCUCGGCGGCAGCUCACGUAGGUGCUCUGGCUGCACCACGUGCACGUCCUUGGCCUCUAUCCAGGCCCCGUCCUUUGACGACUGCAGUAGGGGCGCAUGUGCCUAAGCAUCUCAAGUAGCACGUGUCCUCACCAUUUGUAAGAUAAUAGAAGACAAAAGUUUAGAAUUGUGAUGUCAAAAUAUCGCAUGACAAGGAAAUCAAAUGAAGUGGAAUUUUCCUAAUAGUUACAUAGUGUCUCGUAGAUAAGUACAGACAUCUCCGUAUCUAUCAGCGAGACUCUAAUAAACUGGCUUGUGAUCCAUGACUCCUAUGAAUCUAGAGCUCUGAUACCAACUUGUCAUGACCCCGGUUCGCCCUCCGUGAACCAUCGUGACGACACCUAGUCUCUACGACUAGGUAAGCUUAAAAUGCUGAAGAUAAACCAAUUUGCGGAAGAAAAUAAUUUAAAACAGAAAUAGAGUGAUAUAACAGCGUUUAAACGUGUCGCUCGGCAUACACAAUAUAAAUCCUCAAAACUAAUACAUUUUCCCAAAACCCAAAAACCCAUGAAUCCAAAAGCCUUGGAACGUCUACUAGUGUCUAACUUCAGAAUAUCUAACAAGAAAAAGGAAAUACAGAAGGGCUAAUACAAUAAGGAGAGUAGAAAGAGACUCCUCGGUCUGCGGAUGCGGCAGAUAUACUUCGAAGUCUCUGGAACAGUCGCCUCGCCUCAAGGGUAAUAAGACCGAGUCAAGGUACCUGGAUCUGCACAUGAAAAACAUGCACAGAAAGGGCAUGAGUACACCAUAACGGUACUCAGUAAGUGCUAAGCCUAACCUCGGUCGGGAAGUGACGAGGAAGGUCAGGGCCCUACUGAGGUUAAAUAAUAUAAAGUUAAACAGUGUAGAACAGAACAAUAUAAAUAAGUACAGCAAUAAAAGUAACACAAGAUAUAAAGGGCAACAACAACUAUUACAGAGACAAGGUAAACACAGAAAGAAAUACGGUCCAGUACCAAAAUAACAAUCGGGGAUCUCCCAGGAUACCGUCAUGUAGUCCCAAAUAUACAUAUCCAAUGGAUCUCCCGGGAUCCCGUCCCAUAGUCCAACUCAUAGUGCACAAGGAUCUACUGGAAUCCCGUUCCGUAGUCCCAAAUGUAAAUACCCAGUACUGGGGGAAUCUACCAGGUGCAUUCCCGUAGUUCCAUAUAACUAUGCAGGGGGAUUUAUCGGAAUCCCACAUCUGUAGUCCCAAAAUAAACAGACAAGGGGGAUCUACCAGAAUCCCACAUCCGUAGUCCUAAUGUAAAUACACAGCAGCUACAGGAAAAUAUUUAGAAAUGGCAAAUUUCAUAUUAAGACAAAUAAGUAAUUCUAGCCUAGCAUGCUACACAGAAUUUAGGUAAGGCGGUUUGAGCAAGUAAAGCAAUUAAGUCACUUAGACAUGCUUUCCUAAGCUAACAACAGGCUUAAUAGUGCAAGUAAUUAAAAUAGGAAAGGAAACAUACUAGUAAUUACUUAAUGAAAACCGGAUUUCCAACAAUUAGCACAAGUACGCACUCGUCACCUCACAUACAAGGCAUUUCAAUUACCAAAUAUACCAAAUCCUAAGGGGAAGGUUCCCCAAACAAGGUUAGACAAGCCAUUUACCUCAAACCGGCUCAAUAAUCAAUCCGAAACCAUGCUCUUAUCACGAGUACUCGACUCCAAAUGGUCCAAAUCUAUUCAAUUCAAUUUCAUAACAUAAAUAAGACUUCAAGUAACUAAUUCUACAAAGAAAUUCUAAGCUACUACGCGAAAUUAGGUAAAAUGACCAAAAUACCCCUUGGGCCCACAUCUCGGAAUCGGGUAACAUUUAUAUUUUUAGAAUCCUCACACUCUCCCGAGUUCAUGCAUACCAAAAUUAUCCAAAUCUAAGGUCAAAUUCCCAAUCAAAAGUCGAAUUCUAGGUUUAAGAACUUUCUUCCAACUUUUCCCCAAUUUUCAUCUCCAAUACGAAAUUAAAUGAUGAAACUAACUAUAGAUUGAUGUAGUAUAACUAGAAAGGGUUAAAGAAUCAUUACCCAAUGAUCUCCUCUUCAAUUUCCUCUCAAAAUCGCCCUCUCCCGAGCUCCAAAUCGAAUUUCCAACUUUUGAAACUAAACCCUCGAAAUUUCAUAUUUUUGCCCAGGUGUUUUCAUAUCUGCGGUCCCACAUUUGCGGAAUAAUGGUCGCAUUUGCUACUUUUCACUUAAGGCCCAGCUUUCAGCAUAUGCGGCUAUCCUUUCGCAGAUGCGGGGCCGCUUCUGCGGUGAAGACCCCGCUUCUGCUGUCCCUGCUGCCUUUCCUCUAUUUCCACUUCUACGGUAGAUCCGCUGCUUCUGCAGAUCCGCACAUGCGGUCCCUCACUCACAGGUGCGGUUAUGACAGAAGAACAACUGAAGCUGCAACUCCAAAGUCCCAAAAUCCUUCCGUCAACCAUCCGAAAUCAUUCCGAGGCCCUCGGGACCUCGACCAAACCUACCAACAUAUCCCAUAACUUCAUUCAAACUUUUUCCAACCUUUAGAAUGCUCAAAACAACAUCGAAACACNNNNNNNNNNNNNNNNNNNNNNNNNACAUGCCCCUAAGCCCGAAAUUACCCAACGGAGCUAACAAAACCAUCGAAUUUCCAUUCUGAGGUUGUCUUUACACUGUUCCGACUAUGGUCAACUUUCCAACACUUAAGGUCUCAUUUAGGAAUUAAGUGUCCCAAAACUCUCCAAAACUUAAAACCGAACAUCCCUGCAAAUCAAAGUAGCAGAAAUAAACUUGGGGAAAACAGUUAAUGGGGGAUCGGGGCACAAAUUCUUAAAACGACCGGCCGGGUCGUCACAAUUUUUCUCUUUUAUUAAAUGGAAUGAUUAUGCAACGAUUGUAUUUUAUGUGAAUAAUGGUAAACUAGUAUGAAUCUGAUUCACAUCUUUGUCUGAAACUCGGUGUGAUUCUUGUUAUAUGUGUUGAUAAUCAACUAUGACCUCUCUUCUUACUAUAUGUUUGAAUCUAAAAUUUGCCUUCAAGCUUUGUAUGAUAAUGUGGUAGUCAUCAUGCUUAAAAUAGUCUACAAGGAUCCAUGUGAAAGCUGAAACUUGUUUUCUCAUUUUAUGUUUGUUUUUCUUUGGCAAAUCAACUAACGGAACCUGGGAAGUAGUAUAAAGGGAAUCUGGAUAUUUUGGUUAAGCAUGUCCUUGUGUGUUGACACCAAUGAAGGGUGAUAAUGGUACUAACUUUGUUUUCGUUGGCCUGUUGCAUUAAGGGAUCAGAUGCAGAUUUGCAGGCUAGCUUUAUAGCUAGUUUUGCAAAUCUCAACAAUGUUUUGAAUCACAAGGAGGAAGUAUGUUGCCUUAGCAAAGGAUGGAACGAUUUAUGGAGCUUUCUUUCAAUGAUGUAGUCAAAUUACUUAGUUAUUACGAUUAAAGAUUGUAUAAAUUUAUUUUCUUUUGUUUAUUUGUUCUGUGUAAUUGGUUAGGGAUGUUCAAUCAUUGAUAGUUAAUUGUAGCUUUCAAACGUAUGUAUUUUGCUGUACGUAUAUACAGAAUAUCAGUGUGUGUCAUUAACUAAUUGGGUCAGGAAUAGGCCAAAAUGAAUGGUUUUGGUCAAGAUCACUCUAAGUGUGAUCCUUGACAGUCGUCUGCAUGGUGGGCUCAAUUUUGGAGCCCAAACCGUCGAGAUAAAGUUUUCUUUUGAUUUGGG